AACGAACGCUGGCGGCAGGCUUAACACAUGCAAGUCGAGCGAGACCUUCGGGUCUAGCGGCGGACGGGUGAGUAACGCGUGGGAACGUGCCCUUCUCUACGGAAUAGCCCCGGGAAACUGGGAGUAAUACCGUAUACGCCCUUUGGGGGAAAGAUUUAUCGGAGAAGGAUCGGCCCGCGUUGGAUUAGGUAGUUGGUGGGGUAAUGGCCCACCAAGCCGACGAUCCAUAGCUGGUUUGAGAGGAUGAUCAGCCACACUGGGACUGAGACACGGCCCAGACUCCUACGGGAGGCAGCAGUGGGGAAUCUUAGACAAUGGGGGCAACCCUGAUCUAGCCAUGCCGCGUGAGUGAUGAAGGCCUUAGGGUUGUAAAGCUCUUUCAGCUGGGAAGAUAAUGACGGUACCAGCAGAAGAAGCCCCGGCUAACUCCGUGCCAGCCGCCGCCGUAA
rnacentral:rRNA from 1 species